rnacentral:rRNA from 1 species
GACGAACGCUGGCGGCGUGCCUAAUACAUGCAAGUUGAGCGCUGAAGGUUGGUACUUGUCCCGACUGGAUGAGCAGCGAACGGGUGAGUAACGCGUGGGGAAUCUGCCUUUGAGCGGGGGACAACAUUUGGAAACGAAUGCUAAUACCGCAUAAAAACUUUAAACACAAGUUUUAAGUUUGAAAGAUGCAAUUGCAUCACUCAAAGAUGAUCCCGCGUUGUAUUAGCUAGUUGGUGAGGUAAAGGCUCACCAAGGCGAUGAUACAUAGCCGACCUGAGAGGGUGAUCGGCCACAUUGGGACUGAGACACGGCCCAAACUCCUACGGGAGGCAGCAGUAGGGAAUCUUCGGCAAUGGACGAAAGUCUGGCCGAGCAACGCCGCGUGAGUGAAGAAGGUUUUCGGAUCGUAAAACUCUGUUGGUAGAGAAGAACGUUGGUGAGAGUGGAAAGCUCAUCAAGUGACGGUAACUACCCAGAAAGGGACGGCUAACUACGUG